rnacentral:rRNA from 1 species
UACGAAGGGGGCUAGCGUUGUUCGGAUUUACUGGGCGUAAAGCGCACGUAGGCGGAUCGAUCAGUCAGGGGUGAAAUCCUGGAGCUCAACUCCAGAACUGCCUUUGAUACUGGAGACCUUGAGUCCGGGAGAGGUGAGUGGAAUUGCGAGUGUAGAGGUGAAAUUCGUAGAUAUUCGCAAGAACACCAGUGGCGAAGGCGGCUCACUGGCCCGGAACUGACGCUGAGACGCGAAAGCGUGGGGAGCAAACAGG